GACCGCGCAAAGGGGAGCUGGGAUAUCGGCCCGGCUGAGAGGCGACACCAAUGCCGCGACCCAUAGAACCUGUCCGGGUAAUGCCGGCGUAGGGACCAGAGCGCACAGUUCGG
rnacentral:ncRNA from 1 species